CCUACGGGAGGCAGCAGUGGGGAAUAUUGGACAAUGGGGGGAACCCUGAUCCAGCGACGCCGCGUGAGUGAAGAAGUAUUUCGGUAUGUAAAGCUCUAUCAGCAGGGAAGAAAGAAAUGACGGUACCUGACUAAGAAGCCCCGGCUAACUACGUGCCAGCAGCCGCGGUAAUACGUAGGGGGCAAGCGUUAUCCGGAUUUACUGGGUGGAAAGGGAGCGUAGACGGCGAUGCAAGUCUGAAGUGAAAGGCGGGGGCCCAACCCCCGGACUGCUUUGGAAACUGUAUGGCUGGAGUGCAGGAGAGGUAAGUGGAAUUCCUAGUGUAGCGGUGAAAUGCGUAGAGAUUAGGAGGAACACCAGUGGCGAAGGCGGCUUACUGGACUGUAACUGACGUUGAGGCUCGAAAGCGUGGGGAGCAAACAGGAUUAGAUACCCCUGUAGUC
rnacentral:rRNA from 1 species